rnacentral:rRNA from 1 species
CCUACGGGGGGCAGCAGUGAGGAAUAUUGGUCAAUGGGCGAGAGCCUGAACCAGCCAAGUCGCGUGAGGGAGUACUGCCCUAUGGGUUGUAAACCUCUUUUGUCGGGGAGCAAAAGCCGGACGUGUCCGGCUGUGAGAGUACCCGAAGAAAAAGCAUCGGCUAACUCCGUGCCAGCAGCCGCGGUAAUACGGAGGAUGCGAGCGUUAUCCGGAUUUAUUGGGUUUAAAGGGUGCGCAGGCGGAUUGUUAAGUCAGCGGUAAAAUCGUGGGGCUCAACCCCAUCCAGCCGUUGACACUGGGGAUCUAGAGUGUGCGAGAGGUAUGCGGAAUGCGUGGUGUAGCGGUGAAAUGCAUAGAUAUCACGCAGAACCCCGAUUGCGAAGGCAGCAUACCGGUGCACAACUGACGCUCAGGCACGAAAGCGUGGGUAUCGAACAGGAUUAGAUACCCGUGUAGUC